ensembl:lincRNA
CUGCUCCCUGCGCUUUCUGAAACUGUGCCUUCAGCCUCUUGCACUGUGUAACAGAAUCCCUGAGGCUGGAGAUUUAUACAGAGCAGAAGUUCACUGGGAGGCCAGGAAGUCCGUGUGACCUCUGCGUGGCGUCUGUUGGGGGCCUUCCUGCCGCACUGUCCCCUAGCAGAAGAGACGGGCAAUGAGAUCUAUCAUGCUCAAGCCCUCUACAGCCCAAACACCUCCUGGCCCCACCCCAGCACCACCUCUUGGGGUGUAAAGCUCAGCGCAGACACUGGGGGCAUGCAGCCUAACAGCGGCGAGGGGAGAGGCAGCUGCAUUUUAACGUCUGGACCACGCACGGCGUGUGCCUUGCUGCCGUGGAUCGACCAGCCCGCUUCCACAGGCAGUCGCAGCCUGGAGCCUGUGCUCGGGGCUCCCUGGGGAAACAGACACAGGCAGGCCAGGGACCCCACAGCCUAGGGGCAGUGAGCUUUGGGGGCUGCUGGCGCCUGCCUGCCCCACCAAGACAAGUAUACAGUGAGAUGGGGACCCGGACAGAGCCGUGCGUGAGUUGCUUUGGCCGCCUCAUCGCCGGGAUCUAAAUGGAUUCAUCCAGUGAUGAGCUGGUAGCUGACUGCUGGUAGGAAGGAAGCCAGUGGGGAAGUGGGUCACUGGGCGGGGUGCCCUGCAAGUGUGUGCCCCUGUCCUCAGCGCCUUCCUCUCUCGGGCUCUUUCCCACCUCUUCUUCCAGAAUCUGAGCGCUUGCCUCUGCCGCACCUUUGGCUGCAGUGUCUGCAACCAGCCGGCCGCAGACUGAAACCUCUGAACAUGCGCUGCACCAGUUUCCCUCCUUCAGCUGGACGAGGCAGGUCCUUUGAGCAGCAGCAGACCCGGACAGCUGAACCUGGAGGGCUUCCGAGAGGCCAUGUCCACUUCCCCAUCCCGGUGGGAGUCCCGUUGCUUCUCUGCGAGGAGGGCCGUACCCUGUGCCGAGCUCCGCAUGCUGGCAGAGCAGCAGCAUCUGGCUGGAUCUGGGUCUCGGGAACUCUAGUGUAUAAGCACCAGAAGAGGACCCCUGUGUACCCGCAGCUUUUACGCAACGCUUCCUCCUGCUCACCGCGUGCCCACGGCCCUUGCAAGCUCCCUGCACAGCCCGCCUGCUGUCCAGCUGCGCCUCGCCCUGGGAGUUGCCCUCGGACCCCACUCUGAGCCGCGGCGGCCGCAGUGCUGUAUAUAAUUCUGCGUGCACAGAGACCCCUGCACACGUGUCAACCCCUGCCUGCACUCUGAGCGUCCGCGGCCACUCGGACCCCUCCCGAGCCUCCUGUCACCUGCUGCCGCUGUGUGAAGUGUGAGGAUCGGCUCCAGUGCCAUGGACAAAGGAGAUGAAGGCAACCUCGCAAGUGCCUCGGGCCUGAUGCCAAGGGAAUUUAGAGUCCUUGGCGAGUGAAAGAAAUCUCCAGAGCCCGUGAUGGACUGUUACUCAGUCAAUUGUUCCGUGUGGAAAGACACACAGCGCCUAGUCUCUGUUCAUACUUUCCGCUCUAUCUUUGACACCAGAGGCCACAGGGUCAGUGUGAGCCUCACAUUUGCCCCUGUAACCUUCAC